ACCUCUAACUGCGCUCCUCUUGUUUCUCCCCCUCUCUUCACAGGUGGACUGGAGACAGAGGAGAGGGGACAGUCUUCCUGCUGGAUUUGCCAUCAGCUCACUCUGGCAGGAGACACCAAGCCAAUAUUGAGGGUAUUUGGGCAAACGAGACUAACGUGAUUCUAAAUCUACCUUUGAUGGCUAAAGCCACCCAUCCAAACCCAAGAAUUAAAGCUCAUCUUCAAUUUAGCCUUUGGCUUUGUCGAGAUGAACUAAUGUAGCUGAGCCCAAUUUCAGCCACUUCCAGAACCCUAGAGGUGAACCUUUGAAAUUGGGCUUCAUUUGAUGGUGAUAAAUACCUCUGGUACCUUCUUUCCCUGCUGUAAAGUUGUAGAUUCCUGCUGUCACCAUCAGUGUAUUUGGUCAAACUGCGUAAACACCCUGUCAGCCGUCAUCAUGUGAUGCAAUUGAAUUUUCUGAGUGUACCCGUGUUCCACCUGCUUGGCUGUAAAACCACAAGGGAGAUUUGCCGCCAUUGGGGAAAAUGGCCCUUUCCUGUAGGUGUCCUGCUGCUGCUGAGCACAACACCAGAGGGCAAGGUGACAGUGAGAAGCUGCAGAGCUUUGGGAAGCAGGAGCCCCCUUUGUAGGUGGACUUGAGGCUGCUUCCUUUCUGAAGUUGAGACUCCUGAUUCACUGU
rnacentral:lncRNA from 1 species